AGGAUUCUCCUAGUAACGGCGAGUGAACGGAGAUUAGCCCAUCACCGAAGCCUAUCCGUUUUUGCGGAAAUGGCAAUGUGGUGUCAGGGUGUGUGCCUGGGACCGCUUGCUUACUCCAAGUCCGACACCGAAUACGGCUAGGAUAAUGUCCCGAGAGGGUGAUAGACCCGUGUGGGUAAGCUUGUGCAUGUAAGCGGUUCUCAGAUGCAUAUACCUGCGAGUCGGAUUGCUUGAGAAUGCAGUCCAAAGUGGGUGGUAAACUCCAUCCAAGGCUAAAUACUGGCACGAGUCCGAUAGUAGACAAGUACCGUGAGGGAAAGUUGAAAAGUACUCUGAAGAGAGAGUAAACAGUACGUGAAUCCGCUUGCAGGGAAGCUGGUGGAGUCAAGCUUCUUGCUUGGUUGUUGUGGUCAGUGUGUAUCUGUGCCUGGACGUGGAGUCGGUCUCGCUGGAAAGGUUUGUGCUCAUUCGUGGGCAUCGAGUCUUCCCGGGCUGGAGGAUCGAGCUGGCUCCUAUCUCCUGCACCUGGCCCGGUAUCAGCCUAGCAUGGAUCACGGUGGAUGUGGCGAUGUGCUAUCAUGGUCUAACUGUAUCAUUGCCGGUAGCAAUACUUGCGUGAUGCGGGACGGCAGGUGACGACGCGGCUUGCCGUUAGUCGUUUAUAGUGGUUUCGACUUGCUGAUCAUGGUCUGUGUAUUGCGAUAUCUGUCAUAUUGGGCGGUCUAUCUUCGGAUUGGCUGUCACUGAGAACCGUGAUUCUGAGGUAGA
rnacentral:rRNA from 1 species